rnacentral:lncRNA from 12 species
GAAAUUAUUAUUGUUUUUUUUUUUUUAAUUCCCCUAAAUCCUCUCCCGAAUCCUCAAACAAUUCCCGCUCUGGCUUCAGUUCCUUCAGUUCUUUGUUCCUGUGGAAACUCUGGGUGGGGGAAAUUCCCCUUUCGGGAAUUCUGGGUUUGGGAUUUUCACCGUUUUCCCCUUUUUUCCCCCGUUUUCCCCCCCCCCCCCCCCCCCCCCCCCCCCCCCCUUUUUCCCCCGUUUUUCGGGGGUUCCCAGGUGGAUUCCCUGCCCCACGUCCUGCACCCUCUGUUCUCCUCGCAGCGCCUCGAGGCCAAUGGCAGCUGGCAGGACGCCGCCACCCCCUCAUCCGUCACCUCCGACGCCUCCAACUGAAGAUCAGAAUAUUUUAAAAGACCUUUUUUGAGAGGAGAGAGGUCAAUUAGCGCUAAUUACUCCAUGUUGCUCUUCUCACAAUUAAUGAAUUACCUCAGAACAAGCCAAUAGAUUGUGAUGGCAGCGACGCCUCUACCUCUCACCGCCCCGCCGGGACCCGAAAUUAUUUAUAAUAAUUCCUUUCGCCUCAGCGGAUUCCGCUUUUUUGUUUUUUUAAGGAAAAACCUCGCGGAUUUUACAGGAAAAGCCUGAAGAGGAAGGAAAGGAAAAUCCUUGGUGUUUAUUUCAAGUUUUGCAGCGGGAGAAAAUGGAUUUAUUUUCGUUUCCGUCCGGUUUUUUUACGCUGGGAUUUCUGUUCUCGGUGAAUAAUUCCAGUUGAACCCCCCCCCCGAUAUUGUAAUGGUUUGUUCUCGGUAUUGUAAUUUUGUAUAGGGAAUUCAGCUCUUUCUUAAUUAAUUCAGCUAAUUAACGGGAACGUUGCUUUACCAAACUCCUCGCUGGGGUCACUCCAGGGGAUUUCACAUCGGAG